rnacentral:rRNA from 1 species
UACGAAGGGGGCUAGCGUUGCUCGGAAUCACUGGGCGUAAAGGGCGCGUAGGCGGCCAUUCAAGUCGGAGGUGAAAGCCCAGGGCUCAACCCUGGAAUUGCCUUCGGUACUGUUUGGCUAGAGACCGGAAGAGGUAAGUGGAACUGCGAGUGUAGAGGUGAAAUUCGUAGAUAUUCGCAAGAACACCAGUGGCGAAGGCGGCUUACUGGUCCGGUUCUGACGCUGAGGCGCGAAAGCGUGGGGAGCAAACAGG